GGUCACGCUCUACCGGAGACGCUGAGGAGCGAGCUCCCGGGGCUUCACGUGGCCGAACCUGUCACUGGUGAAGUAGUUUAGUGUAGUUGUACGGAAGCUGGCACCCACACAAAAAGGUACUGAAUAUGUGACAGCUCUGUAUCCAUCUGUCUUCAUUUUGGCAUGUGGUCAGAGAUUUUGAUGCUCCUGAAUGUGGGAUUUGGACUGGGGAUGGCUGGUCAUGAGAAAUAAAGAGUUUUUGGUUCCCGAUUCCAAGAAGAAAAGCCUGUGAACAUGGCACGAGUGGUGGACUGUGGCAGCCAUGAGAUGUGCCUCGCAGACCUCUAACUGCAGGGAGUGUAAGAUCAUGUUACAACAUGACAACAACAAAAGUCCGUAGCAUUUCUGCUCACUGAACUCUGCUAAAUGAUGAACUGUGAAGGGAUCCUUGAAGAAUUGGUGACAAUUUGCAUAGGUGACAGAAGAGGAAAGAAAGAACCUUGGAGGUGGCAAUGAGGAUAUGUUUACAGUACAUCUGAGGAAUAAGAUGGCCUCCUGUGCUCAGGAGCAUCUGUUCAUUGCAGUCAUUCACACUCGGUCUGGGGAGCAGGGGUUGUCAAGUUUCUGGUCCCACAUGUAAGGUUCUUGGAAGUUGCCACUCCAUCCUAACAACGAGUAAAAAGCUGAACAGUCUGAGAAGCCAACUACUCUUGUGGAUCCAUACGAGAGGGGAGGACAAAGGCCAAACGUCUGCCCCUGGGGUUGGAGAGAUAGACAGACCAACACAAGGAGUCAUGGCUUCCCAUAGCAGAGACUCACGAGUGGAAACUGCCAGGGGAACCAGUGCCAAGGAGUUCUCAGAAGGCUGAAGAUGAGACAGAGCCUCUUUGUGAAACGUCCACAGUUCCUGCGGAGGUGCUCUGGAAUUUCUCUGAAGUCCUGGCCCAACCCCCUUCCAUCACCCCUAGCAUCUUAUAGAAUUGAAAAUCAGAACAAAGGGAUGAGAAGAGACAAACAACACAGGACCUGACACAUGUGUGAAGAAUGACAGGAAAGAAAAAAUAUUUAAAGGAAAAGGUGAAAAUUAUUCUUGAGAACACAUCCAUCUGAACACUGCCUGUAAGACUGUGACCUCUUCCAGCAUAAGGACCACUCAACUAUUUCUACUCUCCUGAACCUGAUGUAUUUUCUGUUGCACAGUCAAAAAUUUGUUGAAAAGGCUGACCAGGGACUGGUACAUCUGAGCUAUAUUCUACAACCCUAAGGACAAGAAUUCUGCCGGAAAUUUCAAUAGCAGAGAAAGAAGCAACUAAAAAGCAUAACCUGGACUUCCUGGUGGCGCAGUGGUUGAGAGUCCGCCUGCCGAUGCAGGGGGCACGGGUUCGUGCCCCGGUCCGGGAAGAUCCCACA